rnacentral:rRNA from 1 species
GAUGAACGCUGGCGGCGUGCCUAAUACAUGCAAGUCGAGCGAACGGACGAGAAGCUUGCUUCUCUGAUGUUAGCGGCGGACGGGUGAGUAACACGUGGAUAACCUACCUAUAAGACUGGGAUAACUUCGGGAAACCGGAGCUAAUAACGGAUAAUAUUUUGAACCGCAUGGUUCAAAAGUGAAAGACGGUCUUGCUGUCACUUAUAGAUGGAUCCGCGCUGCAUUAGCUAGUUGGUAAGGUAACGGCUUACCAAGGCAACGAUGCAUAGCCGACCUGAGAGGGUGAUCGGCCACACUGGAACUGAGACACGGUCCAGACUCCUACGGGAGGCAGCAGUAGGGAAUCUUCCGCAAUGGGCGAAAGCCUGACGGAGCAACGCCGCGUGAGUGAUGAAGGUCUUCGGAUCGUAAAACUCUGUUAUUAGGGAAGAACAUAUUUGUAAGUAACUGUGCACAUCUUGACGGUACCUAAUCAGAAAGCCACGGCUAACUACGUG